UUCUUUAAGAAAUUCUUUAAAGUAAAACCUGCUCAAUGUAUAAUAAAUAGCCGCAGAAUACUGUGCUAAGGUAGCAUAAUCAUUAGCUUUCUAAUUAAAAGAUAGAAUGAAAGGUUAUAUGAAAUAUAAUUUGUUUCUAAAACACUUGAUUAAAUUUAAAAAGAUAGUCAAAAUUCUUCUAAUCUUUAGAAAGACGACAAGACCCUAACAAACUUAAUAUUUUGCUGGGGCGGCAAAACAAAUACACCUUCUAUAUAACCAUGAUAACUAUAAAUCUAUUUAAAUUAACUAUAAAAUAGUUACUGUAGGGAUAACAGCGCAAUUUUUUUUUAAAGUUCACAUUUAAAGAAAUGUUUACGACCUCGAUGUUGAAUUAAUUUUUCUUUAUUAAGAGCAAUUUCUAUAAAAGAUUAGUCUGUUCGACUAUUAAACAAUU
rnacentral:rRNA from 1 species